UACGGAGGGUGCAAGCAUUAAUCGGAUUUAUUGGGCGUAAAGGGCGCGUAGGCGAGAAUAAAAGUCAGAUGUGAAAUCCUGGGGCUCAACCUCAGAACUGCAUUUGAAACUCUAUUUCUUGAGGGUAGGCGGAGAAAACGGAAUUCCACAAGUAGCGGUGAAAUGCGUAGAUAUGUGGAAGAACACCGGUGGCGAAGGCGGUUUUCUAGCUUAUUCCUGACGCUGAUGCGCGAAAGCAAGGGGAUCAAACAGG
rnacentral:rRNA from 1 species